AGAUAUUUAAUUUGGUGGUAAAAUGUUGGACUCUUAGUUUCAAUGAUCAGGGUUCAAUCCCUGACCAUUUU
rnacentral:tRNA from 1 species